rnacentral:rRNA from 1 species
CCUACGGGAGGCAGCAGUAGGGAAUAUUGCUCAAUGGGGGAAACCCUGAAGCAGCAACGCCGCGUGGAGGAUGAAGGUCUUCGGAUUGUAAACUCCUUUUGUUAGAGAAGAUAAUGACGGUAUCUAACGAAUAAGCACCGGCUAACUCCGUGCCAGCAGCCGUGGUAAUAUGGAGGGUGCAAGCGUUACUCGGAAUCACUGGGCGGAAAGAGCGCGUAGGCGGGAUAGCAAGUCAGAUGUGAAAUCCUAUGGCUUAACCAUAGAACUGCAUUUGAAACUGUUAUUCUAGAGUAUGGGAGAGGUAGGUGGAAUUCUUGGUGUAGGGGUAAAAUCCGUAGAGAUCAAGAGGAAUACUCAUUGCGAAGGCGACCUGCUAGAACAUAACUGACGCUGAUGCGCGAAAGCGUGGGGAGCAAACAGGAUUAGAUACCCGGGUAGUC